rnacentral:rRNA from 1 species
AUUGAACGCUGGCGGCAGGCUUAACACAUGCAAGUCGAGCGGAGAUGAGGUGCUUGCACCUUAUCUUAGCGGCGGACGGGUGAGUAAUGCUUAGGAAUCUGCCUAUUAGUGGGGGACAACAUUCCGAAAGGAAUGCUAAUACCGCAUACGCACUACGGGGGAAAGCAGGGGAUCUUCGGACCUUGCGCUACUAGAUGAGCCUAAGUCGGAUUAGAUAAUUGGUGGGGUAAAGGCCUACCAAGGCGACGAUCUGUAGCGGGUCUGAGAGGAUGAUCCGCCACACUGGGACUGAGACACGGCCCAGACUCCUACGGGAGGCAGCAGUGGGGAAUAUUGGACAAUGGGCUGAAGCCUGAUCCAGCCAUGCCGCGUGUGUGAAGAAGGCCUUUUGGUUGUAAAGCACUUUAAGCGAGGAGGAGGCUACCUGGAUUAAUACUCUAGGAUAGUGGACGUUACUCGCAGAAUAAGCACCGGCUAACUCUGUGCCAGCCGCCGCAGUAAAAC